rnacentral:rRNA from 1 species
UACCAGCACCCCGAGUGGUCGGGACGAUUAUUGGGCCUAAAGCAUCCGUAGCCGGUCCUACAAGUCUUCCGUUAAAUCCACCUGCUUAACAGAUGGGCUGCGGAAGAUACUAUAGGGCUAGGAGGCGGGAGAGGCAAGCGGUACUCAGUGGGUAGGGGUAAAAUCCUCUGAUCCAUUGAAGACCACCAGUGGCGAAGGCGGCUUGCCAGAACGCGCUCGACGGUGAGGGAUGAAAGCUGGGGGGAGCA